UACGUAGGGACCGAGCGUUGUCCGGAAUCAUUGGGCGUAAAGAGCGUGUAGGCGGCCCCUUAAGUCCUGCGUGAAAUCCUGCGGCUCAACCGCAGACGGUCGUGGGAAACUGGAGGGCUAGAGUGCGGGAGAGGAGAGUGGAAUUCCCGGUGUAGCGGUGAAAUGCGUAGAUAUCAAGAGGAACACCUGCGGCGAAGGCGGGUUGCUGGGCCGACACUGACGCUGAGGCGCGAAAGCCAGGGGAGCGAACGGG
rnacentral:rRNA from 1 species